ACAGUGGGUGGUCACUCAGGGUAAUCCACAGUUGUUCCACGAAGGAAAUGCUUUGUGCAUUACCUGUAUUAGCCACCCUGUGUCACUGUUGCUCCAUGAGAUAAAUGCUGUGUGCAUUAACCUGAGUGGCCAUCCGGUGUCACUGUUUCUCCUUGAGGGAAAUGUUUUGUGGAUUACUCCAUGGUCACCCAGCGUCACUGUUGCUCUAUGGGGAAAAUCCUCUGUGCAUAACCCCGCCCUUCCACCUAGUGUUACUGUUGUUCCAGGGAAGCUGCAGGCUGAGUUGCCUGUAAGGGUAUGUCUAUGCUGGCAUUGAAGGACAAAACUUUUUUUUUUCAGAAGUGUUAACCCCCUUCCCCAUCCCUCGACCCCGAAAGUAAAAGUUUUGCCACUACAAGUACCAGUGUGAACCACGCAUUGUUGGCAGGAGCACUCUCCUGCUCGCAAUACAAAUGCCGAUCGUUGGGAGUGGGAGUUUUUUGUUGGCAGGAGAGACGACAAACAGUGGCUACACUUCAUGGCUUUUAGCAGCAGGGCUGAAGCCUAAGGGUAUGUCUGCACUACCCGCCGGAUCAGCGGGUAGUGAUGGAUGUAUCGGGGGUCAAUUUUAGUCUAGACGUGAUAAAUCCAUCGUGAGAGGCGCAAGCAGAGUCGACGGGGGAGCGGUGGCAGUCGACCCAGUGCCGUGAAGACGCCGAGGUAAGUUGACCUAAGAUACGUCGACUUCAGCUACGCUAUUCUCGUAGCUGAAGUUGCAUAUCUUAGGUUGAUCCCCCCCCGCCCCGACCCAGUGUAGACCAGGGCUUAGAUAAAUGCAUGGUAGAGCCUGAGUACAGGCGGCUGCUUCCCUUUAAGUGAGACUUGAUUUCUCAUAAAAGUUUUCUUCCUUGUUCUGGGUGUGGGAGGUGAAUUUCCCUAUUUUGUGAGUAGGUGUGGGUUUAUGACCAGGGGAAGAGACAACAGUCUUCUCUGCACAGUGACUCUCUUGAAUACAGGUGCAAAGGGCUGCUUAACAUAUGAACGUAAGAAUGGCAAUUUGGGGUCAGACCCAAGGUCCAUCUAGCCCACUAUCCUGUCUUCUGACUGGCUAAUGCCAGGUGCUUCAGAGGGAAUGAAUAGAACAGGUAAUCGAGAAGUGAUCCAUCCUGUGUUGCCCAUUCCCAGCUUCUGGCAAACAGAGGAUAAGGACACCAUCCCUGCCCAUCCUGACUAAUAGUCAUUGAUGGACCUAUUCUCCAUGAAUUUACCUAGUUCUUUUUUGAACCCUAUUAUAGUCUUGGCUUUCACAGCAUUCUCUGGCCAGCAAUUCCACAGGUUGAGUGUGUGUUGUGUGCUUUUUAAUUGUAUCUAUGAAGGUCUAAUGGGAGAGGGAGAAGAACCACUGACACAACAUUGCAGAUUCCGAUGAUAACUUUUGUUUUUCCCUCUUGUGUUGUGCUUCGUGUCAAGGGUAAGAGCCCACCCCUGUUGUGAGAUGGAAAGCGUACAAGAGCCAUGAGACACUGAGCAUUGUUGAUGCCAGGCUACGGUGAUGCCGUCUAGCUGGAAGCAGAGCAGCCAUCGCUGUCAGUAAGAUAAGUGUCUGGUUUGGUGAGGAGUCUGGUCACGGUGCACCUAGCUCCAGGCAGGGAUGUGCCAUUAGCUAGGUCUGUGUUUGUAAGAAAAGGUUCCUGACUAGCUGUGGCUACGAGGGAGACAAGGCCCCCAUUAUCAGGGGCUGCUCAUCUGUCUGGCCAGGAGAGGUGUGUCCACUGCAGCAAAAGGUUGGAUCCAGGAGGAUGACUGUAGCUGGUGAGUUUCUUGCCUUCCUCCCCUGUUUCUCUCUCUCUCUUCUCUACUCUAGUGUGUUGGCUGACACACUUUGUCUGUCUGUGCUUGUUUCUCUUUCUUUGGUCUCCCUUCAUAGCACAUGGGCAGGCGUGCAUCCCCAUUGGCUAGGUCUCGGGAGCCUUGAAGAAGUAGGAGGGGACAAAAAUCACGCGGGGGAGCACGCGCGAGAAUGGAGCAUCACUGUCAGUGUUGACUGAGUCUCUGUUCAUCAAGUGGGGCCGAUGUAGAUGGGAUGGGAGAGGGAGGCAGGGAUGAGGGCAAGGUUUUGCGCACCAAUUGAAUUUUGUGGAGUGAUGGCUCCUGCUUGGCUUAAUUGUGGUGCUUGCAGAGGAAUCGUCGAGCAGCAGCUGCAGGAGAAGCUGGCAGAGGUUGACCUGAGCAGCCUGGACAUUCUUGUAAGCGAAGAUUAACAGUCCUCCGCUUUCUGCCUUCCGCAUAACUGACUGUGAGUAAGCGGUCAGUGCUUUGAAUUCCUCAUUCUGUACUCACUCUAGUUUUCUUCACAGGCUGUGAGCUUCCUCAUUGGGCAUGGGGCUCUAUGGGAUUAAGGCUGAGGAAGAAGCAAGUCUCCUCUGCAGAGUCACUAUUUCAGAGGCAUGCUCCAGGCCAGUGCAGCAGCCCCAGACAGAGGAGGAGCAUGUGGAGGAAGUGGACCUGCACAAUCUAGACAUUUCACUUGCCAACGGAGCUGAGGAGGUCUCUUGUGAUGUUGGAGGAGCAGUUCCUCAUGAGAUUGGGUAGAUGAGAGAAUGGCCAACCUGUGGCAGAGACCUAAGAAGGAGCAGCCACCCUGAGCCCAUCCCUAGGGAUUGAAGCCAGACAGUGAUCUGCAGACAGCAACAGCACCUAAAGAAACACAACUGGUGGACGGGUCCUAGCCUGGAGGCCUCUAGAUAGUACAGACUGUGAAGAGCAUACAUUAUGCCCGUGAUGGUUCGUCUGCACCCCAGUUGGGGAUAUUUGUGAAAGAGAGAAGGAGGACCCAAAAUAAGAGACAGUGACCUCAUCGUUAGCUGUCCUCCUCUGUCUGUACUCACGGCAACAAGAUCGCUUGAUGGACAAUUGGAGCAUCACUGAACUGUGGGGAGGGCGGUUGUGGCUGGAAGUCUUUCCAGUUAGUAUGAACUGUUGUAAGCUGUUGGGUGAGAAAUCUUUUGGCUUUGAAAUGGUAUUUAGCUUGGUGAUGUUUAGGAAUUGGUUACAAAAGAAAUAAAAUGUGU